rnacentral:rRNA from 2 species
CACGGCCCAGACUCCUACGGGAGGCAGCAGUGGGGAAUAUUGCACAAUGGGCGGAAGCCUGAUGCAGCGACGCCGCGUGAGGGAUGACGGCCUUCGGGUUGUAAACCUCUUUCAGCAGGGAAGAAGCGCAAGUGACGGUACCUGCAGAAGAAGCACCGGCUAACUACGUGCCAGCAGCCGCGGUAAUACGUAGGGUGCGAGCGUUGUCCGGAAUUAUUGGGCGUAAAGAGCUCGUAGGCGGCUUGUCGCGUCGGAUGUGAAAGCCCGGGGCUUAACUCCGGGUCUGCAUUCGAUACGGGCAGGCUAGAGUGUGGUAGGGGAGAUCGGAAUUCCUGGUGUAGCGGUGAAAUGCGCAGAUAUCAGGAGGAACACCGGUGGCGAAGGCGGAUCUCUGGGCCAUUACUGACGCUGAGGAGCGAAAGCGUGGGGAGCGAACAGGAUUAGAUACCCUGGUAGUCCACGCCGUAAACGUUGGGAACUAGGUGUUGGCGACAUUCCACGUCGUCGGUGCCGCAGCUAACGCAUUAAGUUCCCCGCCUGGGGAGUACGGCCGCAAGGCUAAAACUCAAAGGAAUUGACGGGGGCCCGCACAA